AUUAUUUAUAAUGAAAUACCACCAGGGUUAGAGUGUUUUUAUGUGGUUUGUUAAGGAGCAAACUCGCUUUUUAAAAAAAGAAAUGUGUAUUAAUUUCGAUCCAGAUUUGUUCCUGAACAUGGUCGCCAUGAAAACACUCUGUAGAGCAAGCUCAGCGACGUACGGUCAUAAUAGCGUCGUCGGAAGUUUGCAUUCAGCAUUUUCGUUCAAAAUUGAACGUACAUUAUGCUAUGCUAGGGUUGCGUACAAUCGGUACCCACACGAUGUGUAGCAAUUCUAAAGGAAUAACUAAUACGUAUAAAUAGGGUGUGCGCACGAAGUUUUUUUCGCAGGCCUUUAAUAACUUCGGGGAAAAUAAUAAAAAAAGCAGUGUCCGUGGUCGGGGCUGAAUAGUACUGUGGAAGAUUGGGUUGGAAAAUUUGCAAUUAAGAUCUGUAUUUUUGGGCAAUUGUUACUUUUUGAAAAAUAGUAUCCUACUAAUGUAAAAUAACAUCGGAAGGGUUUGGCAACAAUGAUGUCCAAAGAGUAUGUUAGCCCUAAAGUUUAUUUCAUAAAAUGAUUUAUCUUUGUAUAUACUCAAUUACAAGACAAUUUAAAGUUCGAGUAAAAGUUUAAUAACAAUUGAUAUAAAUUGAAACUCAUUCUGGCUCAAAUUUUAUUUCAUAAAAUGAUUUUUCUCAGAAUACUCGAUUACAUGACAAUUCAAAAAGAAUAUUUAAAGUCAAAAUAUUAAUCAUAAUUCAAAUUCAAAAUGACCUUUGGGUCACAUUUUAUGCCUACUCAUAUGGUUGUGUCCACCGAAGCCCGAGGUAUUAUAUUAGAUACGAAAUACAACGUUUUUAAAAAAACAACCUUAUCAAAAAUCAGUUAAAUAUACUCGCCUUU